rnacentral:rRNA from 1 species
UACGUAGGGUGCGAGCGUUAAUCGGAAUUACUGGGCGUAAAGCGUGCGCAGGCGGCGCGUUAAGUCAGGUGUGAAAGCCCCGAGCUUAACUUGGGAAUUGCGCUUGUGACUGGCGUGCUGGAGUGUGGCAGAGGGAGGUGGAAUUCCACGUGUAGCAGUGAAAUUCGUAGAUAUGGGGAGGAACACCGGUGGCGAAGGCGGCCACCUGGACGGAUACUGACGCUGAGACGCGAAAGCGUGGGGAGCAAACAGG